rnacentral:rRNA from 1 species
UCGAGGGGUAACAUAGAAAAGCUUGCUUUUCUGAUGACGACCGGCGCACGGGUGCGUAACGCGUAUACAAUCUGCCUUAUACUGGGGUAUAGCCUUUAGAAAUGAAGAUUAAUCCCCCAUAGUCUCUUUAAAUGGCAUCAUUUUAAGAGUAAAGGUUACGGUAUAAGAUGAGUAUGCGUUCUAUUAGUUUGUUGGUGAGGUAACGGCUCACCAAGACUGCGAUAGAUAGGGGCCCUGAGAGGGGGAUCCCCCACACUGGUACUGAGACACGGACCAUACUCCUACGGGAGGCAGCAGUGAGGAAUAUUGGACAAUGGAGGCAACUCUGAUCCAGCCAUGCCGCGUGCAGGAAGACUGCCCUAUGGGUUGUAAACUGCUUUUAUACAGGAAGAAACCUUGGUACGUGUACCAAGCUGACGGUACUGUAAGAAUAAGGAUCGGCUAACUCCGUGCCAGCAGCCGCGGUAAUACGGAGGAUCCAAGCGUUAUCCGGAAUCAUUGGGUUUAAAGGGUCCGUAGGUGGAUAAUUAAGUCAGGGGUGAAAUCUUGCAGCUCAACUGUAAAAUUGCCUUUGAUACUGGUUAUCUUGAGUCAUUAUGAAGUAGUUAGAA